AAAUGAAUUGACGGGGACCCGCACAAGCAGUGGAGUAUGUGGUUUAAUUCGACGCAACGCGAAGAACCUUACCGGAGCUUGACAUCCUGAGGAAGCCGAUGUAAAGUUGGCCGUGCCCUUCGGGGAACUCAGAGACAGGUGGUGCAUGGUUGUCGUCAGCUCGUGUCGUGAGAUGUUGGGUUAAGUCCCGCAACGAGCGCAACCCUUACAGUCAGUUGCUACAUUAGGUUGAGCACUCUGGCCGGACUGCCGUUGACAAAACGGAGGAAGGUGGGGAUGACGUCAAAUCAUCAUGCCCCUUACGUUCCGGGCUACACACGUACUACAAUGGCGCAAACAAAGGGAAGCGAAGCCGCGAGGCGGAGCAAAACCCAUAAAAGGCGUCCCAGUUCGGACUGCAGGCUGCAACUCGCCUGCACGAAGUCGGAAUUGCUAGUAAUCGCGGAUCAGCAUGCCGCGGUGAAUACGUUCCCGGGUCUUGUACACACCGCCCGU
rnacentral:rRNA from 1 species